rfam:Bombyx mori DNA, contig: Bm_scaf12_contig9577, strain: p50T/Dazao, build 2, whole genome shotgun sequence.
UUAACUCAAAUUUGUAUGGAGUUGGAACAACUUCGCUUCGUUUGCCGCUAGGGGCGCUGCUCCAACUCCAUAAAAAUUUGAGUUA